UUUGAACCGAAUGCUCACCUCUAGCUCCUUGUGCGACCGAGAGUAUGUGAGGUACAUUGAUGGCAAUCUGCAUUGUAGGCGACUGAGAGGUGCAAUCGUUGUUCGGGAUGGUUGAACAUUGGCUCAGAGGGAGGAUGUUGAACAAAGUUAUGAUAGGUAUACCCCCUCGUGCCGGCUAGAUAUGCCGAUGACCGACCCUAAGGCUAAAAGAGAUCGUCAGAGCUUAGAUAUGCUGGACGGGUGAAGUUCAUCUUUUGGGGCUACAAGUGUCAGGGGAUUAGAAAGUUUAAGUAGUAAUAUG
rnacentral:misc_RNA from 1 species